rnacentral:rRNA from 1 species
AGUGAACGCUGGCGGCAGGCCUAAUACAUGCAAGUCGAACGGCAGCACAGCAGAGCUUGCUCUGUGGGUGGCGAGUGGCGGACGGGUGAGGAAUACAUGGGAAUCUGCCCAGUCGUGGGGGAUAACGUAUGGAAACGUACGCUAAUACCGCAUGCGCCCUACGGGGGAAAUCGGGGACCGCAAGGCCUGACGCGAUUGGAUGAGCCCAUGUUCGGAUUAGCUAGUUGGCGGGGUAAAGGCCCACCAAGGCGACGAUCGAUAGCUGGUCUGAGAGGAUGAUCAGCCACACUGGAACUGAGACACGGUCCAGACUCCUACGGGAGGCAGCAGUAGGGAAUAUUGGACAAUGGGGGCAACCCUGAUCCAGCCAUGCCGCGUGAGUGAAGAAGGCCCUCGGGUUGUAAAGCUCUUUUGUCCGGAAAGAAAGCAUCUGGUUAAUACCCGGG